AAAUAGAACUUUGCAGAGAGAGUUAACAGGGCGUGAAACCGUUGAUUGGCAAACGAAUCGGAGCCACGAAGUCGUUUCGCUGUUAGUUGGGCGGAGUUCAGUUCGCGCCGAAAGACGCGGGCGUAUUCUCACGCUCAUCCAACUUUGUAAGCGUACACUGCAACCUGUUAGACGAUCAGCUGUGGGCUGAGUGACGUAGAGCGAGCAAUCGCGCUGCGGCACGCAUUGUCUGUUCGCUCGCGGUAGUAGUAGCGCAACUGACUUCGGUCUUUCUGUGUUGCUGGCCGCGUGGCGGGUGAACUACAGCUGAAUACUGACAGGCGAAAUGAAAACCGUUUAACAACGUUAGAGAAAAUGCAGUUGGCCACAUGGAUGUCUACACGUUCGACUGUUAGGUCUAAGCUUGGCAUUUUUGAAUUCAGACCUGCUUGCUACCAGUGGGGCAACUCCUGGUGCUUGUAUGGCUUCUGUCUAAUCGGGUGUCGACUUGGCUUGGCAUCGUUCGGGCGUGAAUCGAUCGGAUGUUUAUGUGAGCUAAUUCGCAGUUUGAAUUGGCAGUGAGCAGGUCGGCUUUCCGAACGA
rnacentral:rRNA from 1 species